rnacentral:lncRNA from 1 species
AUGAAAAGCAUCACAUUGUACUUUAUGUUCUUAUUCAAUAUGGAAGGUGUGUUUGGUGAAACUGUGUUAGUGAAGGAGGGAGACUCUCCCACUCUGUUCCCUAGUCUUACUGAAAUAAAGAAAGAUGAUGUGAUAGACUGGAGGUUUGGAGGCACUCUCAUAGCUAGAGUAAGAAAUAACAAAAACCCCACAACGUAUGAUGAUGCCCUUGAUGGGGAAUUCAGAGGCAGACUGGUGUUGAACGGUCAGACUGGAGAUCUCACCAUCACAGACAUCAAAGAUACAGACAGUGGUGUUUAUGAACUAACCAACAGCAUCAACACCAUUAGGAAGACAUUCACUGUCACCGUUACCUCAGGUGGGACUCAAGCUCUGUCUCCAGGUCAAACAGCAGGGAUUGCUGUCGGGGUUUUUCUGUCGCUGGCUGCAGCUGCUGUUGUUGUUUUCUUCUUCAGGAAAAAAAGUCAAGUUUAUUCCACAGAAUGAGCUUCUGUGACAGCUGAUGACUGACUCUGGCAAGUUACUCAAGUCAGAAGUUCACUUUUCAUCAUCAACGAUGAUUCUUAUUUUAGCAGAGUGUCCAAUAAUAUGGAUGUCUGGAUGGAUUAAUAAUGUCAUUGUCAAUAGUUUUCCUUGAAAAUGUGUGACAGAAAAGCACUUUCUAAUUAAUUCGUUUUAAUAAUCUUUAAAUUAAAUGACCUGAUGUUUGACCAAAAUGUUAUCUACAUAACAGAAAAGAACUUCCCACCUGAGUUCUUCACUCUGUAUAUAUUUAUUUAUUUAUUUAUUUAUUUAUAUUGUGUAAUUUUUUUUUCUUUAUUUUUGGUCAGAUUCCUAGUCAGAUUGGACACUUCCAGCAGCUUCCUUACAAACCAUUAUUCAUAACAUUUAUGUAACAUUAUCAUUAUUCAAUCUCAUAUAUCAUUUUAAAUAUCAUUUCAAAAUAAAUGUCUUAUUUAUCCUCUCGUGAACUAUUUAAAAUCAUCUGCAUCCAGGUAAAUUGAAUUGAUAUUGCACCUUUCAUAAAUAUUAGGAAUUGCAUGUAAUGUCUACUGGAUAAACUGCUGGCUGUUGCAUUAGUUCAUUAUUAGUUAUGUGUUGAAUGAGAGCCAGUGUUUCUCUCCAAUGUGUGUUUUUCAUAUAACGUGGCAUGUGACAUUUUCUUCACUACUAAAAUUGUCCAGUUGAAUGUAAAUCUCUGAAAAGUUUGUUGUGAUGCUUUUUUACUGCAAGGCAUGUUUGCCAACUUUUAUAUUAUUUUUAGUUUCUAUUUGUUUUCAUUAGGAACUGCGACUUAUUUUUAUGUUAUACAAAUUGAUUGCACUUAAUUCUACUGACAUUGAAUGUAUCUAUAUUUUUGUAUUCUUUGAGUGGAUCCUGCUCAUCUGUUUCUCUUGAUUUGUUAAUUUAUUUGGUGAUUUUAUUUAUUUUUGUAUUUAAUUAUUUUCGUUUGUUUUGUAUUUCUGAUUGUGUCAGGGUUAUUUUAUUUCACGCUUCAGAGGGAAUUAUUUGUAUUUAACACUGAGCCUGAUGAAACGCUAAUAAAACAAAUGAAUGUCCAGCGGCUGUCCACAUUCUCUUCUCUCUCACAAUUGUGCUUAACUUUUAAUGUUUACUUUUAUAUUAUGCUGUUAUUAUCUAAUAGUUUUGCUCAGCUUUGCUGCUCAGUUAAGCUUAUCUCAAAAAUAUUUUAUCAGCAUAGUGCACACUAUGUUGUUUUCAAAAUAGCCAAUACAUGAGUAUUAUGUAUAACAUUUUAAAGUUUGCAUUCAACUCGAGGCAUAUUGCAUGUUUUUUUUUUAUAGCACUCCCUAGAAUAAGCUACUUUUUUCCACAAAUGAACUAGUUCAAAAUUUGACGUACUCGAUACUGAGUUGUAACCUGAAAGAUUAAUGACUGUUUGUUUGUUUUGUGAUGGUUGUUCAUGAGUCCCUUGUUUGUCCUGAGCAGUUAAAACUGUCCACUGUUCAUCAGAAAAAAAAAAAAAAUCCUUCACGUACCCUUUCCAACAGUGAUUGUUGAGGUCCAGUGAGAGACAGUAGAUUUUGAGAUCACAGUGCCGAUCCUGUUUAAACGAUUGUUCUUUAAAAAUCCGCCAGAUGGCACCAUCUAUUAUUUAAAUGAAAAACAAUUGUCCGUUCAACGUAUAAUAAAUGCUAUCAAACUUCCUUAUAUUUAAAUUGGAUAGAGGAGCUUAUCGUGGGAGCUGCCACGAUCCUGAUCAAGAACACUAGAUGGCGCUCGAGUGCUGUAUGUGUGCUGCUUUCAUUCGCUGUUCACACCAAAUAGACCGAAUAGAGCGUUAAAUUUGCCUCUACCCGCGUCUAGUUUGCUGCUUGAAGAUUUUGAGAUCAUUCGCGCGUGAAAUUUGCUUAAUUUGCACGUGAAAUUAACUUCACAACAGACGUGAAUUCACGUCAUGAGGGGGUUCUGCCAGCUGAGUUCACGCAGCAUUUUCAACCGCCAUUUUUAUUCAGAUAAUUUUCUAAAUAUUACUGUUAUCGUGUCAUGAAAUGUACUUUUAAAAGUAUUUCAGGCGAGAAUGUAGUUGUUUUAAACUCAAAUAUGUGGUUUAUUUAUAAAGACAGCGUCUAUUUAAAAAAUGUGUUUCGCCGAUCUCAGAGACGUGAGCUCCACAUGAUCAGCGGGAGCUCCAUCGUCAUGUAUCCGCCGAGAGCAGCCUCACCUCGGCUAGACCUUCUGACGUUUGACCCUGGCUCUGAUGUUAGUGGUUCAAGAUAAAAUAUAAUUAGUUUGGGAUAAAAAGAAACUUCUUAUCUUUGGCCUUUAUUCAGUUAAUCUAUUAAUAUGUUAUAUAUAUAUAGGUCCUUUUUAUUCAUGUCUCUAUAGAAAUAUGAACUUUUGUCAUAUAGCUCCGGUUGACUGCUCACUGACAACAUCAGUCAUUCCUGCAUGUUGAAUGAGUGACUCCUAGCAGGAUCCUGAUUGGUUAACGCGGCGCGAAUUGACGCAAAUUUCAAUGUUAAAAUUUUUCAACUCGGGCAGCAGGCGUGAAUUAGCGUCAAACGCAAAAUGCGCAAAAAGCACCAUUCGCAAAAUGCUCAAUUCGCGCCAUGAGACCUCCAGACGCGCGUAAACACGCCUUUGCAUUGACUUAAUGCUGUGUUAAGAGCAUCAAAUUCGCGUCUACCGCGUCUAGUUUGCCACUUGAAUAUUUUGAAUGCAUUCGCGCGUCUAGAGCGAAAUAGACGCGCAUAGAAAGCAAAAGUUUGAAGCGAAAUUUACGCGCGUCUGAGGCGAUAUCCGAUUCUUGUGGGAGGGGAAAGUGCCAGUGGUUGUCUGUUUGCAAGAUGGCUGAUGUUGAUCGAGCACUCAGGUCUUUUCCACUUUUUCCUGCACACGCCCUCUGAAUAAACGCAUUAUCUUGUUAGCGAAAAGUAGCUGUAGCCUAUAUUGGGGGAAAAUAGUUGUUAAAAAACAGCGGGAAGGCCGCAGGUUGAUAAACGUGUACGUGACUCAAAAGUUAAAUGUGUAUUUACAACAAACUCCUCCAAGCGGGGUCCUUUUUAUUCCUGAAAUGUGAACUUGUGUGUGAUACUUGUGUCAUAAAGCUCUGCUUGACUGCUCGCUGACAACAUCAGUCGUUCCUCCAUGUUGAAUGAGUGACUCCUGAGCAGGCUCCUGAUUGGUUAACGCGGGGCGAAUUGACACAAAGUUUAAAAUUUUUCAACUCGGGCGGCAGACGCGAAUUCGCGUCAAACACAUAAAUGCACAAAAGCACAAUUCGCGCGUAACGCGCCUAUCACGCCAGACGCUCAAUUCGUGCCAUUCGCGCAAACGAGGUGAAUUCGUGUCUUCCGCACCGUGCUAAACACCUCAUUCACGCCGCGAGACCUCUAGACACGUGUAAACGCGCCUUUGCAUUGACUUAACAUUGAAAUCAUUCACGCCAGACGCUCUGUUCGUGUUUGGUGUGAACACAGCAUAACAUUGAAAUCAUUUGCGCCAGAUGCUCUAUUCGCGUUUUGUGUGAACACAGCAUUACAGUGCAUUCAGGCUAUCAAUUUUUUACCAAUCAUAUGUUCCUGGGGAAUCGAACCCCCUACCUUACACUUGAUAGCACAAUGCUCUACCAAUUGAGCUACAGGAACACUACUGUUUACUUUAGCAAAUUGACACAACCACACAAAAAGUGUUCUUUUUUCCUUAACUCAAUCAUUAGUUGCUUGGUUUGUUGAAUGGUUACUCUAAUAAAUCUAUUUAUAUCAUGGUUUGUCUGAAUAUUUGAUUCUGAUUGGCUAAAAGGUGUGCAUUAAAAUAAUGUGAUUCACAGGUAGUUCCAGUCAAUUUAAUUACAAUUAAACUUUAAUGUGCUGCUGCAAUGACAUACAUGCAAACAAAACACUUGCACACGGAGAUCGGAGAUUAAAGUAAUGUGAACUGAGACAUUUUGCAUUUAAUUUUUUUUUUUUUUUUUUUUUUUACAUUUUUUACAACCUCAGUGGCAUUGCUUCACUGCCACUCAUAAAUCCUCUCCUGUGUUCUCAUGGAGUAGUAAAGUGUCCAUUGUAAGCGUACUUCAGAAUCUCAGCAGAAAUACUUUGAUUUUGGAUGCUACUCUGCUCACAUACUAAUUAAUGAUUAAUGUUUUAAAUCAUGAAGUGUAAAAUAAAUUAUAUAAAUAUUUUAUUUGACUAAGUAAUUACAGUAAUAUUUCAGUCUUUAUUAAUAAUUGAAUUAAAAAAAUAAGCAAAAUAAUAAUGUUAUUAUUUAGAUGUUGUUAUUUGUUCUAAUUUACAGGGUUUCCAAAAACACCAUCACAAUAUGCAUGUACACAAUAAUGUGUACCAAUAACCUGUUUUGUUUGUUGUUUUAAACAGAUAUUGCAGAUCUGGAGAAAAAUGCAGCACUGCUAAUCUUACCAUCUUUAUUCAGAGAAAAAUUAAGUUUCUCUUCUGUCUGGACAAUGUAAGUUUUGAUAUGUCAUGUCUUUGUGUUCGCGAACUGACUCAGAUGAUUCGCGAACCCGCUUUGAACUCCCGAACUGACUCAAAGGAAUC